rnacentral:rRNA from 1 species
CGUUGAGCUAAGCGGUACUAAUGAACCGUGAGGCUUAACCUUACAACGCCGAAG